CGUAUUUGGUGGCACUAGGUGGCACGGAGGCUUUCAAUCUUCGGAACCGAGGGUCGUGGGUUCGAAUCCCUCUAGGCGCGU
rnacentral:tRNA from 1 species